ACCCUCCAGUUCCCUUGCCCACCUGAUCUAAGCACUAGUCUGAGUGGUUACAGAGGAGGAAAAGCAGCAUUGAUGCCGGCGUCAAUGCUUCCUGUGGCACCUGGGCUAGUUGCAAACAAGC
rnacentral:snoRNA from 1 species